rnacentral:rRNA from 1 species
AGUGAACGCUGGCGGCAGGCCUAACACAUGCAAGUCGAGCGGCAGCGCGGGGGCAACCCUGGCGGCGAGCGGCGGACGGGUGAGGAAUACAUCGGAAUCUACCCAGUCGUGGGGGAUAACGUAGGGAAACUUACGCUAAUACCGCAUACGAACUACGGUUGAAAGCGGCGGACCGCAAGGCGUCGCGCGAUUGGAUGAGCCGAUGUCCGAUUAGCUAGUUGGCGGGGUAAAGGCCCACCAAGGCGACGAUCGGUAGCUGGUCUGAGAGGAUGAUCAGCCACACUGGAACUGAGACACGGUCCAGACUCCUACGGGAGGCAGCAGUGGGGAAUAUUGGACAAUGGGCGCAAGCCUGAUCCAGCCAUGCCGCGUGUGUGAAGAAGGCCUUCGGGUUGUAAAGCACUUUUGUCCGGAAAGAGAAGCUGCCGGUUAAUACCCGGCGGUCAUGACGGUACCGGAAGAAUAAGCACCGGCUAACUUCGUGCCAGCAGCCGCGGUAACAC